rnacentral:rRNA from 1 species
GACGAACGCUGGCGGCGUGCUUAACACAUGCAAGUCGAACGGAAAGGCCCUGCUUGCAGGGUACUCGAGUGGCGAACGGGUGAGUAACACGUGUGUGAUCUGCCCUCCACUUCGUGAUAAGCCUGGGAAACUGGGUCUAAUACCGGAUAUGACCUUCCAUGUAGUGUGGGGGGUGGAAAGAUUUAUCGGUGUGGGAUGAUCCCGCGGCCUAUCAUCUUGUUGGUGGGGUAAUGGCCUACCAAGGCGUCGACGGGUAGCCGGCCUGAGAGGGUGGACGGCCACAUUGGGACUGAGAUACGGCCCAGACUCCUACGGGAGGCAGCAGUGGGGAAUAUUGCACAAUGGGCGGAAGCCUUAUGCAGCGACGCCGCGUGGGGGAUGACGGCCUUCGGGUUGUAAACCUCUUUCGCCAGGGACGAAGCUUCGGUGACGGUACCUGUAUAAGAAGCACCGGCUAACUACGUG